rnacentral:rRNA from 1 species
UUGAGGAAGUAAAAGUCGUAACAAGGUUUCCGUAGGUGAACCUGCGGAAGGAUCAUUAUCGAGAGAGGGGCUUCACGCUCCGGGGGGCUUCGACCCUCGACUCUUCCCCCUAUGUUUACUUACUCUCGUUGCUUUGACGGACCUCGAGGCCUCGCCUUGCGCCUGCUACCGGCCUCACGGCCUUGAUCGGUGUGCGCCCGCCAAAGGCCCAUUAAACUCUGUUUAUCAGUGAUGUCCGAGUUAAAACGCAACAAUUUAAAACUUUCAACAACGGAUCUCUUGGUUCUGGCAUCGAUGAAGAACGCAGCGAAAUGCGAUAAGUAAUGUGAAUUGCAGAAUUCAGUGAAUCAUCGAAUCUUUGAACGCACAUUGCGCCCCUCGGCAUUCCGGGGGGCAUGCCUGUUCGAGCGUCAUUACACCCCUCAAGCGUAGCUUGGUCUUGGGUCCUCGCCCUCGUAGGGCGUGCCCGAAAAGCAGUGGCGGUCCGGUGUGGAUUCGAGCGUAGUAAAUUAUCAAUCGCUCAGGAUGAAGCCCGUGGCCGACCAAGAACCGCCCAAAAAUUUCAAAAAUUGACCUCGGAUCAGGUAGGGAUACCCGCUGAACUUAAGCAUAUCAAAAGCCSGGAGGA